rnacentral:lncRNA from 1 species
AUGGAGCAACAGCAGAGGGUGGGCUGGGAAGGCUUCCAGGUAAAGCUGCUCAAGGCCAUUAAAAUCUAUCAGUGCCCCCCUGGGCCCUGGCUGGGCCCAGAUUCUUUCUCAUCAUUGGAGUUUAUUUUAGGUGUCACAUUCCCGCGGGAGGAGGGAGCCGCGGAUCAACGCCAGCGAGGACGUGGUGCUGCACGUGGCCGGCGCGGCCGUCACGCUGCAGUGCAACCUCACCAGCAGCCCCAGCCCCCUGAGCGCCAGCUACUGGGUGAAGAACGGCGAGGAGAUCCCGGGCACCAGGAAACUCUCCAACACCACCGAGUACAGGAUCCUGAAGGCCCGAGCAGAGGAGUCGGGGGAGUACCUGUGUGUGUUCGUGUUCUCCGGCUCGCCCGUCGCCAACGCCACCAUCGAAGUCAGAGGUACUGUGUUAGAACUGAGAGACAAAGUCUCCAUAUUCAGCAACAUUUCCAUUCCUUUGAUACAGGCAGAGCAGCAGCUGGGGAGGCAGAGGGGUCACAGCCCGCUCCACGCUGCACCAAACUUCGGUUUGCAGCUCCUUUUUCUUUGUAG